rnacentral:rRNA from 1 species
AGCGAACGCUGGCGGCAGGCUUAACACAUGCAAGUCGAGCGGGCAUCUUCGGAUGUCAGCGGCAGACGGGUGAGUAACACGUGGUAACGUACCCUUCGGUUCGGAACAACUCUGGGAAACUGGAGCUAAUACCGGAUACGCCCUUAUGGGGAAAGGUUUACUGCCGAAGGAUCGGCCCGCGUCUGAUUAGCUAGUUGGUGGGGUAACGGCCUACCAAGGCGACGAUCAGUAGCUGGUCUGAGAGGAUGAUCAGCCACACUGGGACUGAGACACGGCCCAGACUCCUACGGGAGGCAGCAGUGGGGAAUAUUGGACAAUGGGCGCAAGCCUGAUCCAGCCAUGCCGCGUGAGUGAUGAAGGCCUUAGGGUUGUAAAGCUCUUUUGUCCGGGACGAUAAUGACGGUACCGGAAGAAUAAGCCCCGGCUAACUUCGUG